rfam:Parcubacteria (Giovannonibacteria) bacterium GW2011_GWF2_42_19 TV11_C0041, whole genome shotgun sequence.
GGGCCUGUAGUUAAGUGGUAUAACGGCGCAUUCGCAUUGCGCAAGCGGGGGUUCGAUUCCCCCCAGGUCCA